GACGAACGCUGGCGGCGUGCCUAAUACAUGCAAGUAGAACGCAGUUGCGAACGGGUGAGUAACGCGUAGGUAACCUGCCUUAUAUCGGGGGAUAACUAUUGGAAACGAUAGCCAAUACCGCAUAAUGUGAGAUGGACCUGCGUUGUAUUAGGUAGUUGGUGAGGUAAAGGCUCACAAAGGCGACGAUACAUAGCCGACCUGAGAGGGUGAUGGGCCAAGCGGGGACUAAGACACGAACCAGAAUCCUACGGGAGAAAGCAGUAGGGAAGUGACGGCGAUGGACGGAAGUCUGACCAAGAAACGAUGCGGGAGUGAAGAAGGUUGUGGGAUCGUAAAGAUCUGUUGUGAGAGAAGCGGUAACUAAACAGAAAGGGACGGCUAACUACGUGCCAGAAGCCGCGGUAAUUC
rnacentral:rRNA from 1 species